CAGAUUGAGCCCAGAAAGUGAAGACAGAGGGUUUGCUGGAACAAAAGACUUAUCAUGGAGAGGUUUCAUCACUCCACCUGUGCUUGCUUUUCACACAGAGAAGUCUAGACUAUAUUCCAAUUAUAAGGGGAGCCUGUGACUGCUACCAUCUGGACCUUGAGAAGUGACACUCUGGACCUAGCACAUUGUCUGAGUUGGGCAAAAAUCAUAGAGGUUGGAAAAAAACCAGAUGUGGCCAGAAAGGUCUCUUAGGCUGUGUUGACAGGCCUAAACAAAAUGCUAAAAUGAUCUCACUGUAGAGAGAAAAACAACUGCAGAGUGACAACAGCUGCUAAAAAAAACCCUGAAGGCCCUGCUUCUGUUUUG